AACGAACGCUGGCGGCAUGCCUAACACAUGCAAGUCGGACGAAGGCUUCGGCCUUAGUGGCGCACGGGUGCGUAACGCGUGGGAAUCUGCCCUUGGGUUCGGAAUAACAGUUAGAAAUGACUGCUAAUACCGGAUGAUGUCGUAAGACCAAAGAUUUAUCGCCCAGGGAUGAGCCCGCGUAAAGAUUAGGUAGUUGGUGGGGUAAAGGCCUACCAAGCCGACGAUCUUUAGCUGGUCUGAGAGGAUGAUCAGCCACACUGGGACUGAGACACGGCCCAGACUCCUACGGGAGGCAGCAGUGGGGAAUAUUGGACAAUGGGCGAAAGCCUGAUCCAGCAAUGCCGCGUGAGUGAUGAAGGCCUUAGGGUUGUAAAGCUCUUUUACCAGGGAUGAUAAUGACAGUACCUGGAGAAUAAAGCUCCGGCUAACUCCGUGCCAGCAGCCGC
rnacentral:rRNA from 1 species